GAUGAACGCUGGCGGCGUGCUUAACACAUGCAAGUCGAACGGAAAGGCUCCUGCUUGCAGGGGUUCUCGAGCGGCGAACGGGUGAGUAACACGUGGGUGAUCUGCCCUGCACUUCGGGAUAAGCCUGGGAAACUGGGUCUAAUACCGGAUAGGACCACAUUUUGGAUGGUGUGGUGGAAAGUUUUUCGGUGUGGGAUGAGCUCGCGGCCUAUCAGCUUGUUGGUGGGGUAAUGGCCUACCAAGGCGUCGACGGGUAGCCGGCCUGAGAGGGUGUACGGCCACAUUGGGACUGAGAUACGGCCCAGACUCCUACGGGAGGCAGCAGUGGGGAAUAUUGCACAAUGGGCGCAAGCCUGAUGCAGCGACGCCGCGUGGGGGAUGACGGCCUUCGGGUUGUAAACUCCUUUCGCUAGGGACGAAGCGCAAGUGACGGUACCUGGAGAAGAAGCACCGGCUAACUACGUG
rnacentral:rRNA from 1 species